CCUACGGGAGGCAGCAGUGAGGAAUAUUGGUCAAUGGGCGUGAGCCUGAACCAGCCAAGUCGCGUGAGGGAUGAAGGUCCUAUGGAUUGUAAACCUCUUUUAUAAGGGAAUAAAGUGCGGGACGUGUGCCGUUUUGCAUGUACCUUAUGAAUAAGGAUCGGCUAACUCCGUGCCAGCAGCCGCGGUAAUACGGAGGAUCCGAGCGUUAUCCGGAUUUAUUGGGUUUAAAGGGUGCGUAGGCGGCGUUUUAAGUCAGCGGUGAAAGUUUGGGGCUCAACCAUAGAAUUGCCGUUGAAACUGGGAGGCUUGAGUAUGUUUGAGGCAUGCGGAAUGCGUGGUGUAGCGGUGAAAUGCUUAGAUAUCACGCAGAACCCCGAUUGCGAAGGCAGCCUGCCAAGCCAUGACUGACGCUGAUGCACGAAAGCGUGGGGAUCAAACAGGAUUAGAUACCCGAGUAGUC
rnacentral:rRNA from 1 species